UAUUUUAAUAGCUUAUUUUAAAGUGUAAUAUUGAAGAUAUUAAGAAGGCAUUAGUCUUAAAAUAUU
rnacentral:tRNA from 1 species